CAGUCGCCACGGUAAUGCGUAGGUGGCAAGCGUUGUCCGGAAUUAUUGGGCGUAAAGGGCUCGCAGGCGGUUUCUUAAGUCUGAUGUGAAAGCCCCCGGCCCAACCGGGGAGGGUCAUUGGAAACUGGGAAACUUGAGUGCAGAAGAGGAGAGUGGAAUUCCACGUGUAGCGGUGAAAUGCGUAGAGAUGUGGAGGAACACCAGUGGCGAAGGCGACUCUCUGGUCUGUAACUGACGCUGAGGAGCGAAAGCGUGGGGAGCGAACAGGAUUAGAUACCCGCGUAGUCCCUGUCUCUUAUAC
rnacentral:rRNA from 1 species